AUUGAACGCUGGCGGCAGGCCUAACACAUGCAAGUCGAACGGUAACAGGAAGAAGCUUGCUUCUUUGCUGACGAGUGGCGGACGGGUGAGUAAUGUCUGGGAAACUGCCUGAUGGAGGGGGAUAACUACUGGAAACGGUAGCUAAUACCGCAUAACGUCGCAAGACCAAAGAGGGGGACCUUCGGGCCUCUUGCCAUCGGAUGUGCCCAGAUGGGAUUAGCUAGUAGGUGGGGUAACGGCUCACCUAGGCGACGAUCCCUAGCUGGUCUGAGAGGAUGACCAGCCACACUGGAACUGAGACACGGUCCAGACUCCUACGGGAGGCAGCAGUGGGGAAUAUUGCACAAAGGGCGCAAGCCUGAUGCAGCCAUGCCGCGUGUAUGAAGAAGGCCUUCGGGUUGUAAAGUACUUUCAGCGGGGAGGAAGGGAGUAAAGUUAAUACCUUGGCUCAUUGACGUUACCCGCAGAAGAAGCACCGGCUAACUCCGUG
rnacentral:rRNA from 1 species